rnacentral:tRNA from 1 species
AAUAAAGUGGCUGAGUUAUAGGCGGUAGAUUGUAAAUCUAUAGACGAGUGAAACUCCUUUAUUA